rnacentral:rRNA from 1 species
UACGGAGGGUGCAAGCGUUAUCCGGAUUCACUGGGUUUAAAGGGUGCGUAGGUGGGCAGGUAAGUCAGUGGUGAAAUCUCUGGGCUUAACUCAGAAACUGCCAUUGAUACUAUCUGUCUUGAAUACCGUGGAGGUUAGCGGAAUAUGUCAUGUAGCGGUGAAAUGCUUAGAUAUGACAUAGAACACCAAUUGCGAAGGCAGCUGGCUACACGAAUAUUGACACUGAUGCACGAAAGCGUGGGGAUCAAACAGG